rnacentral:rRNA from 1 species
GGGUUGUGAGGUUAAGCGACUAAGCGUACACGGUGGAUGCCCUGGCAGUCAGAGGCGAUGAAGGACGUGCUAAUCUGCGAAAAGCGCCGGCGAGGUGAUAUGAACCUUUGACCCGGCGAUGUCCGAAUGGGGAAACCCAGUGUGUUCCGACACACUAUCAUUAACUGAAUCCAUAGGUUAAUGAGGCGAACCGGGGGAACUGAAACAUCUAAGUACCCCGAGGAAAAGAAAUCAACCGAGAUUCCCCCAGUAGCGGCGAGCGAACGGGGAGCAGCCCAGAGCCUGAAUCAGCUUGUGUGUUAGUGGAAGCGUCUGGAAAGUCGCGCGAUACAGGGUGACAGCCCCGUACACGAAAGCACACAGGCUGUGAGCUCGAUGAGUAGGGCGGGACACGUGGUAUCCUGUCUGAAUAUGGGGGGACCAUCCUCCAAGGCUAAAUACUCCUGACUGACCGAUAGUGAACCAGUACCGUGAGGGAAAGGCGAAAAGAACCCCGGCGAGGGGAGUGAAAAAGAACCUGAAACCGUGUACGUACAAGCAGUGGGAGCACCUUCGGGUGUGACUGCGUACCUUUUGUAUAAUGGGUCAGCGACUUAUAUUCUGUAGCAAGGUUAACCGAAUAGGGGAGCCGAAGGGAAACCGAGUCUUAACUGGGCGUUAAGUUGCAGGGUAUAGACCCGAAACCCGGUGAUCUAGCCAUGGGCAGGUUGAAGGUUGGGUAACACUAACUGGAGGACCGAACCGACUAAUGUUGAAAAAUUAGCGGAUGACUUGUGGCUGGGGGUGAAAGGCCAAUCAAACCGGGAGAUAGCUGGUUCUCCCCGAAAGCUAUUUAGGUAGCGCCUCGUGAAUUCAUCUCCGGGGGUAGAGCACUGUUUCGGCUAGGGGGCCAUCCCGGCUUACCAACCCGAUGCAAACUACGAAUACCGGAGAAUGUUAUCACGGGAGACACACGGCGGGUGCUAACGUCCGUCGUGAAGAGGGAAACAACCCAGACCGCCAGCUAAGGUCCCAAAGUCAUGGUUAAGUGGGAAACGAUGUGGGAAGGCACAGACAGCCAGGAUGUUGGCUUAGAAGCAGCCAUCAUUUAAAGAAAGCGUAAUAGCUCACUGGUCGAGUCGGCCUGCGCGGAAGAUGUAACGGGGCUAAACCAUGCACCGAAGCUGCGGCAGCGACACUAUGUGUUGUUGGGUAGGGGAGCGUUCUGUAAGCCUGCGAAGGUGUGCUGUGAGGCAUGCUGGAGGUAUCAGAAG